rnacentral:rRNA from 1 species
GAUGAACGCUGGCGGCGUGCCUAAUACAUGCAAGUCGAGCGAAUGGAUUAAGAGCUUGCUCUUAUGAAGUUAGCGGCGGACGGGUGAGUAACACGUGGGUAACCUGCCCAUAAGACUAGGAUAACUCCGGGAAACCGGGGCUAAUACCGGAUAACAUUUUGAAACGCAUGGUUCGAAAUUGAAAGGCGGCUUCGGCUGUCACUUAUGCAUGGACCCGCGUCGCAUUAGCUAGUUGGUGAGGUAACGGCUCACCAAGGCAACGAUGCGCAGCCGACCGGAGAGGGUGAUCGGCCACACUGGGACUGAGACACGGCCCAGACUCCUACGGGAGGCAGCAGUAGGGAAUCUUCCGCAAUGGACGAAAGUCUGACGGAGCAACGCCGCGUGAGUGAUGAAGGCUUUCGGGUCGUAAAACUCUGUUGUUAGGGAAGAACAAGUGCUAGUUGAAUAAGCUGGCACCUUGACGGUACCUAACCAGAAAGCCACGGCUAACUACGUGCCAGCCGCCGCAGUAA